UACGGAGGGGGCUAGCGUUGUUCGGAAUUACUGGGCGUAAAGCGCACGUAGGCGGCUUUGCAAGUUAGAGGUGAAAGCCCGGAGCUUAACUCCGGAAUUGCCUUUAAAACUGCAUCGCUAGAAUUGUGGAGAGGUGAGGGGAAUUCCGAGUGUAGAGGUGAAAUUCGUAGAUAUUCGGAAGAACACCAGUGGCGAAGGCGACUCACUGGACACAUAUUGACGCUGAGGUGCGAAAGCGUGGGGAGCAAACAGG
rnacentral:rRNA from 1 species